rnacentral:rRNA from 1 species
GACGAACGCUGGCGGCGUGCCUAAUACAUGCAAGUCGAACGCAGUGGGGACGGGUGAGUAACACGUGGGUAACCUCCCAUCAGAGCGGAUACCACUUGGAAACCGGUGCUAUACCGAUACUGAUGGAUGGGCCCGCGGUGAAUUAGCUAGUUGGUGGGGUAACGGAUCACCAAGGCCACGAUGCAUAGCCGGCCGGAGAGGUUGAUCGGCCACACUGGGACUGAGAAACGGCCCAGACUCCUACGGGAGGCAGCAGUAGGGAAUCUUCGGCAAUGGACGAAAGUCUGACCGAGCAACGCCGCGUGAGUGAGGAAGGUUUUCGGAUCGUAAAACUCUGUUGUUAGAGAAGCGGUAUCUAACCAGAAAGCCACGGCUAACUACGUGCCAGCAGCCGCGGGAAUAC